rnacentral:rRNA from 1 species
UACGUAGGGUGCAAGCGUUGUCCGGAAUUAUUGGGCGUAAAGAGCUCGUAGGCGGUCUGUCGCGUCUGCUGUGAAAACUCAGGGCUUAACCCUGAGCCUGCAGUGGGUACGGGCAGACUAGAGUGUGGUAGGGGAGAUCGGAAUUCCUGGUGUAGCGGUGGAAUGCGCAGAUAUCAGGAGGAACACCGGUGGCGAAGGCGGAUCUCUGGGCCAUAACUGACGCUGAGGAGCGAAAGCAUGGGGAGCGAACAGG